AGCUCCAAUAGCGUAUAUUAAAUUUGCUGCGGUUAAAAAGCUCGUAGUUGGAUUUCAGUUGCGGGUGGGUGGUUCAUCACACGAUGUAACUACCUGGACCGAACCUUAAGCCAGCUUUUGUGCUAUUCUCUUCAUCGAGUGUAGCGCAGGACUGGAAUUUUUACUUUGAAAAAAUUAGAGUGCUUAAAGCAGGCGCAUGCCUGAAUAGUCGUGCAUGGAAUAAUGGAAUAUGGCCUUGGUGCUAUUUUGUUGGUUUUCGGUACUCGAGGUAAUGAUUAACAGGGACAGACGGGGGCAUUUGUAUUGUGACGUUAGAGGUGAAAUUCUUAGAUCGUCGCAAGACAAACUACUGCGAAAGCAUUUGCCAAGAAUGUUUUCU
rnacentral:rRNA from 1 species